rnacentral:rRNA from 1 species
UACGUAGGGGGGCAAGCGUUGUCCGGAUUUAUUGGGCGUAAAGAGCUCGUAGGCGGUCUGUCGCGUCUGCUGUGAAAACUCAGGGCUUAACCCUGAGCUUGCAGUGGGUACGGGCAGACUAGAGUGCGGUAGGGGAGACUGGAAUUCCUGGUGUAGCGGUGAAAUGCGCAGAUAUCAGGAGGAACACCGAUGGCGAAGGCAGGUCUCUGGGCCACUACUGACGCUGAGAAGCGGAAAGCAUGGGGGAGCGAACAGG